GAUGAACGCUGGCGGCGUGCCUAAUACAUGCAAGUCGAGCGAACGGACGAGAAGCUUGCUUCUCUGAUGUUAGCGGCGGACGGGUGAGUAACACGUGGAUAACCUACCUAUAAGACUGGGAUAACUUCGGGAAACCGGAGCUAAUACCGGAUAAUAUUUUGAACCGCAUGGUUCAAAAGUGAAAGACGGUCUUGCUGUCACUUAUAGAUGGAUCCGCGCUGCAUUAGCUAGUUGGUAAGGUAACGGCUUACCAAGGCAACGAUGCAUAGCCGACCUGAGAGGGUGAUCGGCCACACUGGAACUGAGACACGGUCCAGACUCCUACGGGAGACAGCAGUAGGGAAUCUUCCGCAAUGGGCGAAAGCCUGACGGAGCAACGCCGCGUGAGUGAUGAAGGUCUUCGGAUCGUAAAACUCUGUUAUUAGGGAAGAACAUAUGUGUAAGUAACUGUGCACAUCUUGACGGUACCUAAUCAGAAUGCCACGGCUAACUACGUG
rnacentral:rRNA from 1 species